rnacentral:rRNA from 1 species
GAUGAACGCUGGCGGCGUGCUUAACACAUGCAAGUCGAACGGAAAGGCCCAAGCUUGCUUGGGUAUUCGAGUGGCGAACGGGUGAGUAACACGUGGGUGAUCUGCCCUGCACUUCGGGAUAAGCCUGGGAAACUGGGUCUAAUACCGGAUAGGACGAUGGUUUGGAUGCCAUUGUGGAAAGUUUUUUCGGUGUGGGAUGAGCUCGCGGCCUAUCAGCUUGUUGGUGGGGUAAUGGCCUACCAAGGCGUCGACGGGUAGCCGGCCUGAGAGGGUGUACGGCCACAUUGGGACUGAGGUACGUCCCAGACUCCGACGGGAGGCAGCAGUGGGGAAUAUUGCACAAUGGGCGCAAGCCUGAUGCAGCGACGCCGCGUGGGGGAUGACGGCCUUCGGGUUGUAAACUCCUUUCGCUAGGGACGAAGCGUUUUUGUGACGGUACCUGGAGAAGAAGCACCGGCUAACUACGU